UUUGAGUGCCCGGCUCAGUCUUGCGGCAACGUUCGACGAGUGAAUACACGCGCGGUGGUCUCCCCAGUCACGUGAACGAUUCGGUCCGAAAGAAGAAAGUGGCGGUGAAAGAGAACGGAAGACGAUCAUAAUAAACAGAACGAUCGCGUGGUCGAUCAGCUGGUGGUUCGGGGUUGGAAGAGUGUUCUACGUGCGAGUGAUUUCUACGGGGGAGGGCGGUAUUAAUUAGAAGAGUCUGGGCAGAACAUGAACAGCAGUGGUGGGUGGACGUGAGAGGUGCAUCAAAGCACUGGGGAUUCCGAAUUGAGGAAAGUGCGCGGGCGAUUAAGUGCAAAAACGGCAUUAAAAGUAUAAAAUAAAUCGAAUUAAGUAUGUUAAGCGGCUGAUAAACGGGACGGCCCUCUGGGACUUGUUUGUUUGCGGAGAGAAGAGAUGUUUUUGCUCCGUUAAUGGUCGUUCGGAGGAGGAAGAAAUUGCCGCAUUAUCUUAAGACCCUUCGGGCUGUGUGCUGUUUGUGUGGAAGCGAGCCUAGCUGCCCGACGAGUGGAUCCAGUCAUAGAUCGAGUCAAACGGUUGAGCUUUUUCUUAUAUUAAAUAGAUAAAACGGGACAAGAACAAGCGAAUUAAACAAAUAUAUGCGGACAGUACAGCGGAUUGACUGCUCUUUCGGGCGGGGGAGAGCCGCAGCCGUCGUCGUCAUCGAGUAGUGAGUAGUGACUCGGGAGACAUAAGUGAAUAGUGAAGUGACCUCAUAAGAACUGUGCCUCGUAAAACGAAGAUUACAAUACAGCACCGUCGUCGUCGUUCUGUGGAAUCCAACAACUCAUCCCGGUAAUGAAGAAACUGUGCGCCCACGAGGAAUACUUUCAGAAUCAGUGUUGGCCGUAUCUCCCAUCUAUGGUGUUGGUGUGCUCGAUCCAGCUUCAUUCUGUGGAAACCCAGGCGAAGAAAGAAACUAAGAAGAAUUAGUUCUGCACCUGGGAAGGAAGAUUAUCUCCGACCAUUUAACGACCUUCAACGGUGGUGGGAUCGUUCGUUCCGUAGUGCUACCAACCGGCCAGUCGAUCGUCGUAAAAGUGUUCCGCGAAGGGCAGCAGCCAGCCAGCAGCGCAUCAAUUGGUCGUCGGUGCGGUGUAAUCUCUCGUGCCAAAGUGGAUAUUUUGAUUGUUAUCGACAAAGUGAGGGCGCUUCGAACUAAGUUGUUGAGGUUGGUGCUGCUGUUGCUGUUGCGGCGAUUGCUGAAACGAUCAUCAUUUAUCAUCAGGUUAUGCAAGCCGAAGGAUGAUCAUACUUUUUCCCAGCCACCCAACAGCGUGGUAGUGCAGUCGCCCAUAACUCGAGGGCUGCUCUAGAUAAGGUGCAUCGCCCGUCGUAGCUUACCCAAACAACGUCGAAAACAGUCGCCACCAUUUAGAGUGGGGUAGCGGCUUCCAGUGUACCGCAGCAGGUCCAUAAACGCCUAUCCGACAACGUGCAACUAAGUGCCCGCGGCGCGAGUACUCACCGAAGAAAAACAAAACCAGAGCAAAGUGAAGUGAGUGCGCGGUUGUAAAACAAAACUAUGUUUGUUCGGUGUCCAGCUGAACAUCGUCUGGUGGGGUGCGUAAGUGAAAAUAAAGCAAUGAAAUAGGAGAGUAAACACCACGGGGACCAGGAAACUCUGUGUGCAGAGCUGAGCCUUUCAUUCAGUCGUUUGAAUCUUGGUUUCGAUAAAGGGGGUUGGUUGGUGGUGGUGAUUAAUGGAAUGCCGACCGACUGACCGCGGGCAAGUUCUCACACUAACCACUGCGUCUAGCUUAAUAACAGUGCGAUGAGGACGACUCCACGACGGGCGGCUGGCGCGGUAUCAAGAUGAAGCAGUUCACGGUGGACCCGCGUUUCGACUUUCGAGGAUAGUGAGUGACAAAGUCUCCGGAUCUCGGUUGUUUGGAAAGGAAGAAAGCUAAACGCGAAGCGGUUCAAUACCUGCC